rnacentral:rRNA from 1 species
AUUGAACGCUGGCGGCAGGCCUAACACAUGCAAGUCGAACGAGUAGCGGACGGGUGAGUAAUGUAUGGGAAACUGCCCGAUGGAGGGGGCUAACUACUGGAAACGGUAGCUAAUACCGCAUACCAUCGGAUCUGCCCAGAUGGGAUUAGCUAGUAGGUGGGGUAAGGGCUCACCUAGGCGACGAUCCCUAGCUGGUCUGAGAGGAUGACCAGCAACACUGGAACGGAGACAGGGGCCAGACUCCAACGGGAGGCAGCAGUGGGGAAUAUUGCACAAUGGGCGCAAGCCUGAUGCAGCCAUGCCGCGUGUAUGAAGAAGGCCUUCGGGUUGUAAAGUACUUUCAGCGGGGAGGCGUUACCCGCAGAAGAAGCACCGGCUAACUCCGUGCCAGCCGCCGCGGUAAUUC